rnacentral:rRNA from 1 species
UACGGAGGAUGCAAGCGUUAUCCGGAAUGAUUGGGCGUAAAGCGUCCGCAGGUGGCUAUGUAAGUCUGCUGUUAAAGAGUGAGGCUCAACCUCAUAAAAGCAGUGGAAACUACAUGGCUAGAGUGCGUUCGGGGCAGAGGGAAUUCCUGGUGUAGCGGUGAAAUGCGUAGAGAUCAGGAAGAACACCGGUGGCGAAAGCGCUCUGCUAGGCCGCAACUGACACUGAGGGACGAAAGCUAGGGGAGCGAAAGGG